rnacentral:snRNA from 1 species
GGAUGUGAGGGCGAUCUGGCUACGACAUCUGUCACCCCAUUGAUUACCGGGGUUGAUUUGGCUGAUCUGGUUGGCUAGGCAUGUGUCCCCUUCCUCCCUCACCGCUCCAUGUGAGUCCCUCCCAAAGCUGCAUGCUCAGUCGAAGAGGACGACCUUCUCCGAUAGAGGAGAGGACUGUUCUUCUGUCAAGGGUAUACAAGUAGCUGAGCUCCCCUGCUAGAACCUCCAAACAAGCUCUCAGGGACCCCAGUGAGGCCAGGUCCAGAGGCUGGAGGCAAUAAGGUAAGGAGUCAGACUCCUUGUUUGU